rnacentral:tRNA from 1 species
GGCAGUGUGGUGUAGUGGUUUGAGCAUAGGACUAGGACUCUGAAGACCGGGGUUCAAUUCCCCGCUUGGCCG